CAUAGGCGGGUGUGCUCUAUUUUGCCAGCUCAUCAAAGGUCGGCCCAUGAGUUUGCUCACGACCGAAGGCCGAUGCCGCUCUUUUCUGUUUGAAUUUGGACGGUUAUUCGUCUCUUAGCAACCCACCAGAGAGAAGGCGACUCAUCCGGGACAUCUGUGGCGUUCAGGAGUUGCCAUGGAAACGGGGCGGCAACAGGACACCUGACAGGAAAACUCGGUCUCUCGCUAAUGUUGUCACUGCUUUUAGAUUUUUCCAUGCUGAUGGCCUGCUGCACAUCAACAGACUCAGAGUGAACCUCCUUCUCCAAAGUGCUAUAAACCAUUGGACUAGUUACUAGAGUUUUGGAUCCAGCCUCACUUGUGAAGACUUCAGAUGAUGACAACACUCAACAAGACUUCAGAUGAUGGCAACUGGACAUACAAAACUGACAAAUAUUAUUCUUAUAUUGCCUUUACGGGUAAGUUUGACGAUUUUCAACCUGCUUUGUAUUAUUGCAGUGUUUCUAAUAUCUGUAAAUGAACAAUAUUUAAUCUUUCUCUGAGUUAUGUGUAUGUACCUAUCCCCUUUUAUUUGUAAGCAACACUCUGCAGGAUGACAAAAAAGAAAUGACAAAAUGGCAAAAACGCACUUUUUGGAUCAUCAAAAUGCUGAGUUUUGCUGACAAAUAAACUGGGUAUCUCUGAGAAAGAUUAAACAUUGUUCUUUUACAUGUAUUUCCAACAUUGUAACAAUACAAAUUGGAUUGAAAAUUGUUGAACUUAGCCUUUAAUAAUCUUGAAGGAUAGUGUGUGAGCACAUGACUAGAGACCUUAGUAAUAUAUAUAUAAAUUAUUUGUAUCAUAUAAUUUCAAACAUUUUAACUGCUGUAGUGUUUGCUUGGUUUUUAUUUUGUUUAUGUCAGUCUUGUAUUAUUGUAACUCAGUUUUUGCCAUGAAAAUAGUCUUAGAUUCUGGUGUGGCAAUGAAAAUAGAUAAUUACUAGUACUGAACACAUGACAUGUUUUAUGUUUGAGCUGCUGUCAUAUGGACAUUACUUUGUUGCCAGAAGAUCUUCCCCAGUAAGUCUCAGUCACCUCUGGCUGAUUAAAGAAUUUUUUUUUAUUGUAAUCCUGAAAAAAUGCAUUUUCUGCAAACCUACUUUGAAAUAAGUAUUUGAAAAGUUGCUUGUACUUAUACAACAGUUAACAAUGUAGCAAGCAACCAUAAGUGUUUUAACAAAGUUUAGUUUUUUUGUUUUUUGGUUCAUACCAUGGUUUGAUGCCAUGGUUCUACUAUAGUUAUAUUGUAGUAAUACUACAGUAAAACUGUGGUAACCAUGACUAUAGUAAUCAUAUUUUUAAAAUCAUGGUAAAAUUUGUAGUAACUAUGGUUUUACUGCAAAUACUGUAGUAAUGGUUAUUUUUGUACUUACUAUGGUUUUACUACAACAGUCAGUUAAACCAUUGGUAUUGUAGUAAAACUAUGGUUGAUUUUGUU